CUGGUUAAAAUUGCCCUGACUGGGGAAGAGCCCUGGGGCAGUGGAAGUCAGUCUAUCUAGAGAAUGAGGUGGUCGGCUUCAAACCUACACAGGAGAAUACUUGUAUAGGUGAAAAGACGGCAACAGAAUUUUUAAAAGCAUGACGCUUUAAGCAGUAUUUUUGUCCUUGAUUUUAAGGUGGGUUUUUUUCUCCCUCCUUUUCAUGACACUGAAGCUGGCAUGUUCCCUGGCCUGACAGUUACUGAGGGCAGGACAGUGUUGUCCCCCCAGUACCCUCCAUUAAUCACGCUCUGGCUGCUCCCCCACCACUUUCUGCAGGCUUGUGGAGAGAGAACAAACACAUGGCCCUCUGGUCAUUACUGCCUUCCCCCGACAUCCUCAUGUUUGGUGAACACCUGCAUCACAGUGCAAAGCCCCAAAGAUGAGACCCCGUCUUGCAGCGAAGGUUUCAUCUGCAGAGUCCCGGAGAAUAACUACCUGUCCCAGCUCAAACAGCAUGGAGCAAAAUUCACUCCUUUCUGCAAGAGUAUAAGACUUCUGAUGGGCAUCCAGAUGCCAAAGUGAGAGGGCCUGUGGUCAUCAGCUGAAGCCAAGUGCUCCAGCUCCACUCUGGUGCUGCUCUCUGACUGCCCAUGCUCCAACACCAGAGCUGUGACUGCUCCAUGGAAAACAUCCAUUUCACCCCAGGAGCCUAUUGAAGAUGAGUACAGA